UACGUAGGUGGCAAGCGUUAUCCGGAUUUAUUGGGCGUAAAGGGAACGCAGGCGGUCUUUUAAGUCUGAUGAGAAAGCCUUCGGCUUAACCGGAGUAGUGCAUUGGAAACUGGGAGACUUGAGUGCAGAAGAGGAGAGUGGAACUCCAUGUGUAGCGGUGAAAUGCGUAGAUAUAUGGAAGAACACCAGUGGCGAAAGCGGCUCUCUGGUCUGUAACUGACGCUGAGGUUCGAAAGCGUGGGUAGCAAACAGG
rnacentral:rRNA from 1 species